rnacentral:rRNA from 1 species
GAUGAACGCUGGCGGCGUGCCUAAUACAUGCAAGUCGAACGCAUAGCGAAAGGUGCUUGCACCUUUCAAGUGAGUGGCGAACGGGUGAGUAACACGUGGACAACCUGCCUCAAGGCUGGGGAUAACAUUUGGAAACAGAUGCUAAUACCGAAUAUAACUUAGUGUCGCAUGACCCAAAGUUAAAAGGCGCUUCGGCGUCACCUAGAGAUGGAUCCGCGGUGCAUUAGUUAGUUGGUGGGGUAAAGGCCUACCAAGACAAUGAUGCAUAGCCGAGUUGAGAGACUGAUCGGCCACAUUGGGACUGAGACACGGCCCAAACUCCUACGGGAGGCAGCAGUAGGGAAUCUUCCACAAUGGGCGAAAGCCUGAUGGAGCAACGCCGCGUGUGUGAUGAAGGCUUUCGGGUCGUAAAGCACUGUUGUAUGGGAAGAACAGCUAGAAUAGGAAAUGAUUUUAGUUUGACGGUACCAUACCAGAAAGGGACGGCUAAAUACGUG